rnacentral:lncRNA from 1 species
AAUGUGUUCCACUAAUUGUAUCUGAUCCUAUGAACACUAUGUUUAAAGUAGAACUGUUGUGUGUAGGACAGUUCUGCCUUUGAGCUUAAGGAAAUCAUUAUAUUAGAUACUGUUACUUCUAUCUGAACCUCACAUCAGUCCGAUGAGAUAAUAGUUUAAAGCCUUUGUUCUAGUACCCCCUUAAAUUCUGCUGUAAGCAGAAGUAUGAAACUUUUGGCUCAACAUUCAGGAAACAGUUACUGUGAUACUUGAGGGAACUCAUAUUAAAAGAAGACUUACAGAAAUGACACAGCCUUUUAGGCAUAGGGACUGUCCUUCUCUUUGUUUAGGGUCAAUUAAAUCCUGUUAAAUUGGUAGUCAGCCAUUUGAAAAAUUUGAUAAAUUCCCUAUGCUGCUGCAGCAAAAAAACAUAGCUCUCUGACUAUCUGAAAGUAUGCCAGUGUUAGUCAGUAGGCAAGAUGGGUUUCCUUGGAAUAAUAUGAGAUGUGACAGCAUGACAUUAAACACAGCGCCAUAAUACAUUGACAUAAAAUUUAACAGGCUGCAUAAUUUGACAUUUUCUAACUUCUGUAUGGAUUAUCUUAGAAAUUAAUCUUUAAGAAGUGUUUGGUUGUUUAUUUCUCUAGACAUGUAAGCAGCAGCCUCACUGGGAUACCUGUUCCAUUUGCAAAACAGAGACAACAUGAAGGUACUUCAUCACGUGUACAAGGACUUGGAUGUGUUACUUUAAGGAUAGGAUGCAGCAGAUUUGCACCCU